rnacentral:rRNA from 1 species
UACAGAGGUCUCAAGCGUUGUUCGGAUUCAUUGGGCGUAAAGGGUGUGUAGGUGGCGCCGUAAGUCGGGUGUGAAAUUUCGAGGCUUAACCUCGAAACUGCAUUCGAUACUGCCGUGCUUGAGGACUGGAGAGGAGACUGGAAUUUACGGUGUAGCGGUGAAAUGCGUAGAUAUCGUAAGGAAGACCAGUGGCGAAGGCGGGUCUCUGGACAGUUCCUGACGCUGAGGCACGAAGGUCAGGGGAGCAAACGGG